rnacentral:rRNA from 1 species
CAGUCGCCGCGGGAAUACAUAGGUCCCGAGCGUUGUCCGGAUUUGUUGGGCGUAAAGCGAGCGCAGGCGGUUAGAUAAGUCUGAAGUUAAAGGCUGUGGCUUAACCAUAGUACGCUUUGGAAACUGUUUAACUUGAGUGCAAGAGGGGAGAGUGGAAUUCCAUGUGUAGCGGUGAAAUGCGUAGAUAUAUGGAGGAACACCGGUGGCGAAAGCGGCUCUCUGGUCUGUCACUGACGCUGAGGCUCGAAAGCGUGGGUAGCGAACAGGAUUAGAUACCCCCGUAGUCCCUGUCUCUUAUACA